AAUCAACGCUGGCGGCGUGCCUCAGACAUGCAAGUCGAACGAUUAAAGCUCUCUUCGGAGAGUGUAUAGAGUGGCGCACGGGUGAGUAACGCGUAAGUAAUCUACCUUUGAGUGGGGAAUAACCCGGGGAAACCCGAGCUAAUACCGCAUAAUGCAGCGGCACCGCAAGGUGACAGUUGUUAAAGGAGCAAUCCGCUUAAAGAGGAGCUUGCGGCAGAUUAGCUAGNGGUAAGGUAAUGGCUUACCAAGGCUUCGAUCUGUAUCCGGCCUGAGAGGGCGGUCGGACACACUGACACUGAAUAACGGGUCAGACUCCUACGGGAGGCAGCAGUCGGGAAUUUUGGGCAAUGGGCGAAAGCCUGACCCAGCAACGCCGCGUGAAGGAUGAAGUAUUUCGGUAUGUAAACUUCGAAAGAAUGGGAAGAAUCAAUGACGGUACCAUUUAUAAGGUCCGGCUAACUACGUGCCAGCCGCCGCAGUAAU
rnacentral:rRNA from 1 species